rnacentral:rRNA from 1 species
UACGUAGGGCGCAAGCGUUAUCCGGAAUUAUUGGGCGUAAAGAGCUCGUAGGCGGUUUGUCGCGUCUGCCGUGAAAGUCCGGGGCUCAACUCCGGAUCUGCGGUGGGUACGGGCAGACUAGAGUGAUGUAGGGGAGACUGGAAUUCCUGGUGUAGCGGUGAAAUGCGCAGAUAUCAGGAGGAACACCGAUGGCGGAGGCAGGUCUCUGGGCAUUAACUGACGCUGAGGAGCGAAAGCAUGGGGAGCGAACAGG